GGUUGUAGCUAGUUCUCUUUUGAUUACUUCUUCGUUCCUGAAACUAUCGGGUUUGUGUUUGUAUGAAGACGGCUUAAAUAUUAUGUAUAGUGUAGUGUGGUAUGAUUUGGAUGAUUUGUUGUUGCUGGUGACACAGAACUGGAGCUGCUGGGCUGAAGAUGGUCAAAUUCGCUGGAAAUUCGAUGCAAUUAACCGAUGAUUGGCUGCUUCUAAGGACCAGGAACUGCCAAGCUUCCUCCCCGUGUGUAGAUGCUGGAUGGACAAAGCGUACCGUGGAAACGACACUUUUUAGCAGUUCCCCAUGAACUAACGGAAUGCUUGCUCGAUGACAAUUUUUGAUACGACGUUUUGUUUACGUGAUGCUUUCCGCAGUUCCCUGGACGAUUCAGUUUUGCGCAGACGUUGCCGGUAAGAUGCUUUGCUACGAUGGUAACUGUUCAGUCGGUCUGCUGAAGGAUGUGCGACAAGAAAGAGACCGACUCGUUGUUCUAAAUCUGCUCCGAAGGGUGGGAUGUUGCCGAAUAUUUUUUGAUUCGGCGGAACCAAGAGUGUACACCACCCGAAUUUCAAGGUUCUAUUGCCGAUGGCCUGGUGAACAGUGAUGUGUGAAUUCUCAAAACUUGCGUGUCAGGUCGCAUGCCUGGGAUAGUCUGUCGAUGAGCUUCAAUGGAUUUGCGAGUCAUCCGCCGGUGCGCAAAUUGUCGGGAGGCAAUCCCCCAAGAGGAGAAGGGCAUAGGCUCCCGGUGCUGGUAGUCGACAAUUCGAAAUAUACCAUUGUUUUAAAGCGGUGACUGGCGCGAUGUGUGUUGGAUUUGCUGCUUGACCUGUGUGGCGACCGAUGGAUUGAUGGUUCACUUGUCGAUUUCAUUUUGCAUGACCCGAGGUAUGCUCAACAAGGCUGAUGGCGAGUCGCUGCUCAAGGGAUGUGUGGUGUUGGCCCGGCAGCUAAUGUUGAUGCUCGAUGUUCCUUAAUCGACCGUGGGAAUAACCUGAGUGCGAAUGAACAGUGCUUAAUUUUUUUGUUAACCCUUAAUAAAUUAGGGACUUCCCUGAAUGCGGAGGCACAGGGCCUCCGCCCACGCUCCUAAGAAC